UAGGGAAUCUUCCGCAAUGGACGAAAGUCUGACGGAGCGACGCCGCGUGAGCGAAGAAGGUCUUCGGAUCGUAAAGCUCUGUUGUUAGGGAAGAAGAAGUGCCGUUCGAACAGGGCGGCACGGUGACGGUACCUAACGAGAAAGCCCCGGCUAACUACGUGCCAGCAGCCGAGGUAAUACGUAGGGGGCGAGCGUUGUCCGGAAUUAUUGGGCGUAAAGCGCGCGCAGGCGGUCCCUUAAGUCUGAUGUGAAAGCCCACGGCUUAACCGUGGAGGGUCAUUGGAAACUGGGGGACUUGAGUGCAGAAGAGGAGAGCGGAAUUCCACGUGUAGCGGUGAAAUGCGUAGAGAUGUGGAGGAACACCAGUGGCGAAGGCGGCUCUCUGGUCUGUAACUGACGCUGAGGCGCGAAAGCGUGGGGAGCAAACAGG
rnacentral:rRNA from 1 species